rnacentral:rRNA from 1 species
UACGGAGGGUGCGAGCGUUAUUCGGAAUCACUGGGCGUAAAGGGCGCGUAGGCGGCCUGGUAAGUCAGGGGUGAAAUCCCACGGCUCAACCGUGGAAUUGCCUUUGAAACUGCUGGGCUUGGAUCCUGGAGAGGGUGGCGGAAUUCCUGGUGUAGGAGUGAAAUCCGUAGAUAUCAGGAGGAACACCGGUGGCGAAGGCGGCCACCUGGGCCAAGACUGACGCUGAGGUGCGAAAGCGUGGGGAGCAAACAGG